GAAUCACAGUGUUAUAAAGAUGAAUCCUCAAGAGAAUGAUAUGUUCUUCAAUGUCAUUGCUAUUGUUGAUCCAUUAACAAGAGAAGCACAGAAAAUGGCACAGUUGUUGGUUGUACUUGGCAAGAUUAUCAACAUGAAGAUAAAGUUGUUCAUGAACUGUAGGGGCAGGCUUUCAGAAGCCCCUUUAGAAAGAGGGGACAAAAAUAUACCCUUUCUCUUCUUUGUGGAUCAGAAUCACUGUCAUUCAUUAUGAGCCAUUCUUAUUGAUGGGAAUAUUCAGUUCUCCUUCAUGUGUCAUUGGGCAGAAAACAGGCUUUUACCGUUUUGUUCUGGAACCAGAACUGAUGUCAGGGGCUAAUGACAUUUCUUCUCUUGGACCAGUGGCAAAAUUUUUGGAUAUUCCUGAAUCACCCCUCCUAAUCCUCAACAUGAUUACUCCAGAAGGCUGGUUGGUUGAAACAGUGCACAGCAACUGUGACCUUGAUAAUAUUCACUUAAAGGAUACUGAGAAAACUGUUACAGCAGAAUAUGAACUAGAAUACUUACUACUGGAAGGACAAUGCUUUGAUAAAGUGACAGAACAGCCUCCUCGGGGUCUGCAGUUCACACUAGGCACAAAAAAUAAACCUGUUGUGGUUGAUACAAUAGUGAUGGCCAAUCAUGGGUAUUUUCAAUUAAAAGCAAACCCAGGUGCUUGGAUACUGAGGUUGCACCAAGGAAAAUCUGAAGAUAUUUAUCAAAUAGUUGGGCAUGAAGGAACUGACUCUCAAGCAGACCUAGAAGAUAUCAUUGUUGUAUUAAACAGCUUCAAAAGCAAGAUACUCGAAGUAAAA
rnacentral:sRNA from 1 species